rnacentral:misc_RNA from 1 species
GAAUGGCGUCACACAAAGGGCCCUUGUGGUCGAGUGAGGGGCGAGCGCAGAAGGACCUGCUUACACCCGGAGCAAGGUGACAUUAGGCGAGCCGACGGGAACGCCAGCAGAAGUACUACCGAUCCUACCGUAAAGGCUGAGUGAAAUGGACGGAACUCCAAGUUGGAAGCUCAAGAUUAACACGUCAUGACUGAUUCUCGACGAAGAAGAAAGAAGAAGAAAGACAGAAAUUAUUUAUUACUAUAAGAGAUAUGUAUUACCACUUAUUUUGUUAUGUUUUGAUUUCCUCUGUAAUUUAAUACAUAUUAUGUAUGAUUA